rnacentral:rRNA from 1 species
GUAGGUGGCAAGCGUUGUCCGGGAAUUAUUGGGGCGUAAAGCGCGCGCAGGCGGUUCUUUAAGUCUGAUGUGAAAGCCCACGGGCUCAACCGUGGAGGGUCAUUGGAAACUGGAGAACUUGAGUACAGAAGAGGAAAGCGGAAUUCCACGUGUAGCGGUGAAAUGCGUAGAGAUGUGGAGGAACACCAGUGGCGAAGGCGGCUUUCUGGUCUGUAACUGACGCUGAGGCGCGAAAGCGUGGGGAGCAAACAGGAUUAGAUACCCUGGUAGUCCACGCCGUAAACGAUGAGUGCUAAGUGUUAGGGGGCUUCCGCCCCUUAGUGCUGCAGCUAACGCAUUAAGCACUCCGCCUGGGGAGUACGGCCGCAAAGGCUG